rnacentral:rRNA from 1 species
UGCAAGUCGAACGGUGAAGUCCCAGCUUGCUGGGAUGGAUCAGUGGCGAACGGGUGAGUAACACGUGAGCAACCUGCCCUCCACUUCGGGAUAAGCCUUGGAAACGGGGUCUAAUACCGGAUAUGAGCCUGCAUCGCAUGGUGUGGGUUGGAAAGUUUUUCGGUGGGGGAUGGGCUCGCGGCCUAUCAGCUUGUUGGUGGGGUGAUGGCCUACCAAGGCGUCGACGGGUAGCCGGCCUGAGAGGGCGACCGGCCACACUGGGACUGAGACACGGCCCAGACUCCUACGGGAGGCAGCAGUGGGGAAUAUUGCACAAUGGGCGAAAGCCUGAUGCAGCGACGCCGCGUGAGGGAUGACGGCCUUCGGGUUGUAAACCUCUUUCAGCAGGGAAGAAGCGCAAGUGACGGUACCUGCAGAAGAAGCGCCGGCUAACUACGUGCCAGCAGCCGCGGUAAUACGUAGGGCGCAAGCGUUGUCCGGAAUUAUUGGGCGUAAAGAGCUCGUAGGCGGUCUGUCGCGUCUGGUGUGAAAUCCCGAGGCUCAACCUCGGGCUUGCAUCGGGUACGGGCAGACUAGAGUGCGGUAGGGGAGACUGGAAUUCCUGGUGUAGCGGUGGAAUGCGCAGAUAUCAGGAGGAACACCGAUGGCGAAGGCAGGUCUCUGGGCCGCAACUGACGCUGAGGAGCGAAAGCAUGGGGAGCGAACAGGAUUAGAUACCCUGGUAGUCCAUGCCGUAAACGUUGGGCACUAGGUGUGGGGCUCAUUCCACGAGUUCCGUGCCGCAGCUAACGCAUUAAGUGCCCCGCCUGGGGAGUACGGCCGCAAGGCUAAAACUCAAAGGAAUUGACGGGGGCCCGCACAAGCGGCGGAGCAUGCGGAUUAAUUCGAUGCAACGCGAAGAACCUUACCAAGGCUUGACAUGCACCGGAAACACUCAGAGAUGGGUGCCCCGUAAGGUCGGUGCACAGGUGGUGCAUGGUUGUCGUCAGCUCGUGUCGUGAGAUGUUGGGUUAAGUCCCGCAACGAGCGCAACCCUCGUCCUAUGUUGCCAGCGGGUUAUGCCGGGGACUCAUGGGAGACUGCCGGGGUCAACUCGGAGGAAGGUGGGGAUGACGUCAAAUCAUCAUGCCCCUUAUGUCUUGGGCUUCCGCAUGCUACAAUGGCCGGUACAGAGGGCUGCGAUACCGUAAGGUGGAGCGAAUCCC